rnacentral:sRNA from 1 species
UGGUGAUGUCUGCAUUUGUCCCCCGGAGGCAGGAACUUUCGCCAUACUCAGCCUCAUGACAGGCUCUGCCGUCGAGCGGCUGGUGUCGGAACCCCUCGUGGGGAACCUGAGCGGAAUCGAGAAGGAGCAGCUGGACGCUCAGCGGGUUGGGCUGGGGAUGUUCGUGCUGCAGCUCGGCGUCUUGUCCACCUUUUUGUCCGAGCCUGUGGUCAAGGCGCUGACCAGCGGGGCCGCGCUGCACGUGCUCGUAUCCCAGCUGCCGAGCCUCUUGGGGUUGUCCCUCCCGCGCCAGAUCGGCUGCUUCUCUCUCUUCAAGGUGGGGGUGGGAGAAGAAAGGAGAAGGGGCUUCUAGAGGUCCCGGGAAUAGGGAAACUCGAAAAGGGAGGAAGGACGGAGGGUGGAGGGGUAGUAUGUGACAAGGGCGCAGGAAAGGGGGUUGGAGCCACGUGGCCGAACGAGGGCGCUGAGGAGGUGUAAGCCCUGGUGGCACUGGGGAGAGAAGGCCUCGCUCUGGGGGGCCCGCGCCGGGGCGCACGAACCCUGGCACGGGGCCCUCUGCUCAUCGCCCCUGCCCUCAGACGCUGGC